rfam:TPA: Bos taurus chromosome 6, whole genome shotgun sequence.
CCAGAGGCCCUUUUAAGGGUCACUUCACUAACACAAUCUAUAAAUAG